GGGGGCCCGCACAAGCGGUGGAGCAUGUGGUUUAAUUCGAAGCAACGCGAAGAACCUUACCAAGGCUUGACAUGAACCGGUAAUACCUGGAAACAGGUGCCCCGCUUGCGGUCGGUUUACAGGUGGUGCAUGGUUGUCGUCAGCUCGUGUCGUGAGAUGUUGGGUUAAGUCCCGCAACGAGCGCAACCCUCGUUCUAUGUUGCCAGCACGUUAUGGUGGGGACUCAUAGGAGACUGCCGGGGUCAACUCGGAGGAAGGUGGGGACGACGUCAAAUCAUCAUGCCCCUUAUGUCUUGGGCUUCACGCAUGCUACAAUGGCCGGUACAAAGGGCUGCAAUACCGUAAGGUGGAGCGAAUCCCAAAAAGCCGGUCUCAGUUCGGAUUGAGGUCUGCAACUCGACCUCAUGAAGUCGGAGUCGCUAGUAAUCGCAGAUCAGCAACGCUGCGGUGAAUACGUUCCCGGGCCUUGUACACAC
rnacentral:rRNA from 1 species